GACGAACGCUGGCGGCGUGCCUAAUACAUGCAAGUUGAGCGCUGAAGGUUGGUACUUGUACCGACUGGAUGAGCAGCGAACGGGUGAGUAACGCGUGGGGAAUCUGCCUUUGAGCGGGGGACAACAUUUGGAAACGAAUGCUAAUACCGCAUAAAAACUUUAAACACAAGUUUUAAGUUUGAAAGAUGCAAUUGCAUCACUCAAAGAUGAUCCCGCGUUGUAUUAGCUAGUUGGUGAGGUAAAGGCCCACCAAGGCGAUGAUACAUAGCCGACCUGAGAGGGUGAGCGGCCACAUUGGGACUGAGACACGGCCCAAACUCCUACGGGAGGCAGCAGUAGGGAAGCUUCGGCAAUGGACGAAAGUCUGACCGAGCAACGCCGCGUGAGUGAAGAAGGUUUUCGGAUCGUAAAACUCUGUUGGUAGAGAAGAACGUUGGUGAGAGUGGAAAGCUCAUCAAGUGACGGUAACUACCCAGAAAGGGACGGCUAACUACGUG
rnacentral:rRNA from 1 species